CUCCACCGCAAGAGGGUGGCUGUUAAUUUAUUGACCAGCCUGCUUUACAUCGAGUUGUCUUUCUUACCGAAUCUCAAAUAACUAUUUUGUUCUUCAUUAAUAAUCUUAAAACAGCAGCUACACAAGUAGAUUUCUGGUGGAUUUUCCCCUUUUGUCAUACUCUCUUCUCUCCUCUGUCAUUAGUUCAAUGACUUAUGACUUCACAGUGGUAGGCCUAGAAAAGACGGUUGACAGUUUGAAACCAAUAUUUGAUUGGCAUCAUGGUUUCUGUGACAUCCUAGAUACAGAUGGAAUGUGUGGGGUAGAUUCACCCUCUGCCUUCCAAUGGCUUCUUUUAUAGAAAAUGAGAGAACAGAUUGAUUAAGAAAACCUAGAAGAAUAAAUAAAGGAAUCAAAGCUCUGAUGCAUUUAGAACCUGAGCCUCCUGAAGAGAAGCAACGGUGUCUUUGUUAGUGAGAAUCCUUGUAAGUGAUCUAACUCAGCUCACCUGGGCCACACACCUUCUUCCCAGAGUCCUUCAAGAGUGCCAAUAGACAUAUUUGGGGAAUGUUCAGGACAAUCCAGACAGAGGAUGAGAGGCUUGGAAGGAAUAAUUCUGCAUGGAAAUAUAUCUAUUUGGGAUCUCAUAAGAAUUCUGAGUGGAACUCAUAUCUUUUGAAAAAGACAGGAGAAAUAAGCCCUCCAACCAAAGAGGUGCUAAUGGAGGGCUUCUUCCCCUUCAUACUGGAAAGGACACUACUGAUGAGCCUUGCCAAGUGGAGAUGGGGCAAGUUGAAGAUUAUCCAGAAGCUCUCUAAAAGUGUGUGGGUUUAAUGUCAUGACUGCAAGGGAUGGAAAGAGAACAUUUUCAUAUACUUUGAAGAGCAACAAGAAACAUUGAAAGGGAGGCCUCUUCAUAUUGUCUCCCCUACCCCACCACUCCUUGUUAAGGGUCAAACAGUUGUAGCAUUGAAAAUGUCAUUAUAAGUCACAGAGGAAAUGCAAACGAUGACCCUCUUCUCUCAAAAUAAGCUGAAGCACCUUGUAUAGUAGCAGAGCUUACAAAAAAUUAAGUAAA